UACGAAGGGGGCUAGCGUUGUUCGGAAUUACUGGGCGUAAAGCGCACGUAGGCGGGUCGUUAAGUCAGGGGUGAAAUCCCGGAGCUCAACUCCGGAACUGCCUUUGAUACUGGCGAUCUUGAGAUCGGAAGAGGUGAGUGGAAUUCCCAGUGUAGAGGUGAAAUUCGUAGAUAUUGGGAAGAACACCAGUGGCGAAGGCGGCUCACUGGUCCGGAUACUGACGCUGAGGUGCGAAAGCGUGGGGAGCAAACAGG
rnacentral:rRNA from 1 species